ACCGUAUGCGUAUUUUGAAAAAGUACUCAUACGGUCCAGACCGUACGCGUACGGUCCAAAUACUCAUACGGUCUGGAACACAUAUACUAAUUUUGAUGACAGUGAGUAAAGAAAUGGAAACUAAUUAAUCGAUAAACUAUUGGUUUUUUUUUGGGUUUCUUUCAACUGACACACUUGGUUUUUUCUUGAUUAUUGUCUUGAUGGGCAAUAAAAUUGUCCCUUCUAUUUACCACUUUGACAAAAAAUAAUGUUGACAUUUCAUCUUCAAAUAAGACAAAACAUUAAUUUAUUUAUUUCCCAUCCUAGAUAGCCAGGGCCAAUCUGAUAUCCACGAUGUCUGAAAUUCUCGCUUCCGUAUUUUUUUUUAAUGCUGCUUGUCCUCCAUUUGCGUUUAAGUUUUCUACUCGACUCAUUCAUCUUUUUGUCUUGCUUGUCCGGUGUUUUAUUAAGUAUUUAUCAAUCUGAACAUCGAUACAAAAUCUAAAGAAAUGACAUUUCCGGUGAAUGAUGGAUAAAACCUAAUCGACGAUCUCGGGUCAAUGGACAAAGCCAAUGCAAUGUUACGCGACUCGGGUUCGCAUACUUAUUUUUAUUUAUUUUGGUAAUCGAUCUAUUUCCGUUAUUAUGCAAUAUUUAUCGUCAUGAACAUUGAUGUUUUUACUUGCUGACCAUUGGUUUCUUUUAAAUAAAUUAAACAUCUUGAUACGUUUUGAAAUUUAUUCUAUAUUUUUGUUGGAUUUGAACUUUGUCUUGUAUAUUUUUUUACUUGUCCACGGGCAACCAAGACAAAAAUAAUUACUUGUCCGGUUGUUCAAAUGUACGAGUCGGGCGAGUCAGGCAUAUCAUUUCCACACCCCUGAUAAGCCAACUAUACAGUAUGGAUGUUUCUCAUUGUUGAAUCCUUACCGUUGCCAUGUUUGCUGACAUCCCCUUCAAUACGAUUUUUC
rnacentral:lncRNA from 1 species